AUACGGAGGACGCGAGCGUUAUCCGGAUUCAUUGGGUUUAAAGGGUGCGCAGGCGGCCGUGCAAGUCAGCGGUGAAAGCCCGGGGCUCAACCCCGGAAGUGCCGUUGAUACUGCGUGGCUGGAACGCGGUCGAGGCGGGCGGAACGUGGCGUGUAGCGGUGAAAUGCGUAGAUAUUAGGAGGAACACCGGGGGCGAAGGCGACUAGCUGGGCCGUAACUGACGCUGAGGCACGAAAGCGUGGGGAGCAAAUAGGAUUAGAUACCCUAGUAGUCCACGCCGUAAACGAUGAAUACUAAGUGUUGGAGAAAUUCAGUGCUGCAGUUAACGCAAUAAGUAUUCCGCCUGGGGAGUAUGCACGCAAGUGUGAAACUCAAAUGAAUUGACGGGG
rnacentral:rRNA from 1 species